AUUUCUUUACCCCGGUCCUGGGCCUUGACCACAGCCAAAGGCCCAACUCAUUCAUCCUUCAAGGCCGGGCUCGAUCAAGCUUCUUCACUCAGGUCGGUCCAGCCCACGCGAAGCAGGUCCUCUCCUCUUGGGCCCAGCGUCCGGCCCAACUCUCGGCCCAGCCCAGUGUCCAGAGCCCUACUCAGACAGCCUGGCAGAUCCGCUCGAACGUACGCACG
rnacentral:lncRNA from 1 species